GGAAUCUUCCACAAUGGACGAAAGUCUGAUGGAGCAACGCCGCGUGAGUGAUGAAGGUUUUCGGAUCGUAAAACUCUGUUGUAAGGGAAGAACAAGUACGAGAGGUAAUGCUCGUACCUUGACGGUACCUUGCGAGAAAGCCACGGCUAACUACGUGCCAGCAGCCGCGGUAAUACGUAGGUGGCAAGCGUUGUCCGGAAUUAUUGGGCGUAAAGCGCGCGCAGGCGGCCUUUUAAGUCUGAUGUGAAAGCCCCCGGCUCAACCAGGGAGGGUCAUUGGAAACUGGAAGGCUUGAGUACAGAAGAGAAGAGUGGAAUUCCAUGUGUAGCGGUGAAAUGCGUAGAGAUGUGGAGGAACACCAGUGGCGAAGGCGACUCUUUGGUCUGUAACUGACACUGAGAGACGAAAGCUAGGGGAGCGAAUGGGAUUAGAUACCCGGG
rnacentral:rRNA from 1 species